GUUACAGAACCGACUAGUUUCCUAUCUGAGGGAAUGGUCUUGAUGGCAUCUGCUUUGAUGAUGAGAUCUACUGGGAUGUGAUACUGUACUAAACCAUUAAAGGCUAAAUGCAUUAAUAUCAUGAAGACUGCAAAGUCAUUUUGGAACUAUCUUUCUGAAGUUACCUGAGGAUGAAGAGAACAAUCCACCUACCGUGGAGUACAAUAACCACAUGCGGAGCAAUGCCGUAACGGAAUCAAAUUCCUCUGUGGAACAGUCAGAACUGACGCUAGAGCCUGAUGUCAUCUCCCCCUACACGUUCAACAGAUGAGCCUAUCCUACACUGACAUCUGCUGGACAGAAACCAGUUCUCUCUUCCUCAUCACCGUAGACUGUUCUGUUCAUGGAAUUUAUAGUACAUUUUUACUACUUAAUUUUAUGAAAUCACAUUGUAACCUGUUUGUUAUAAAUAUGGUUCAUUCUAAUCUCUACGUUAUAAAGCAUUUUAUUAAUUCUACCCAUUUGUGCAACCUAGUCACUAAAGUGUUUGAUGAGACUAUUAUUGUAGUCUAGUAGGUCUACUGUGUAGUCUACUACGUUCUUUUAAACCACUCCAAACAAGAAGUUCCCUCACAGGAAAAAUAUAUUCUAUCUAUGAUUUCAUUUUGCAUGUCUGCUGCUUUGUUGAAAACAAUUAAACAUUUUACAUUGAGAAUGUGAAGGCAAUAUACACUAUGUCAAUCAUGAAUGAUCCACAUGUUAAAAUAACUGUCAUAUUUGUUUUAAACUCUGGCUGGAUUCCAGUAAGAAUUACACAUCAUUUUGCAAACAGGCAUAAUGUGACUUGCAAGCCUGGUGUGGCCUGUAAACUAUGCAUUUGAGACCACUGUAUUUGGGUAAAACUAGUAGUGAUGUUCAAUUUCAUACCGGAGCAGUUAACUUCAAAGCAGUGCAACGAUGCCUGUAACAUUUUAAUCAGAAG
ensembl:lncRNA